GACGAACGCUGGCGGCGUGCUUAACACAUGCAAGUCGAACGGAAAGGCCCUGCUUUUGUGGGGUGCUCGAGUGGCGAACGGGUGAGUAACACGUGAGUAACCUGCCCUUGACUUUGGGAUAACUUCAGGAAACUGGGGCUAAUACCGGAUAGGAGCUCCUGCUGCAUGGUGGGGGUUGGAAAGUUUCGGCGGGUGGGGAUGGACUCGCGGCUUAUCAGCUUGUUGGUGGGGGAGUGGCUUACCAAGGCUUUGACGGGUAGCCGGCCUGAGAGGGUGACCGGCCACCUUGGGACUGAGAUACGGCCCAGACUCCUACGGGAGGCAGCAGUGGGGAAUAUUGCACAAUGGGCGGAAGCCUGAUGCAGCAACGCCGCGUGCGGGAUGACGGCCUUCGGGUUGUAAACCGCUUUCGCCUGUGACGAAGCGUGAGUGACGGUAAUGGGUAAAGAAGCACCGGCUAACUACGUG
rnacentral:rRNA from 1 species